UUAAGUGGUUUUCCUUCCAGAACCUCUGCCCUGGGAAGGCAUCGCAGCCCCAGAAUUUGGUUAUGCAGGGCUGA
rnacentral:sRNA from 1 species